AGCUCCAAUAGCGUAUAUUAAAGUUGUUGCAGUUAAAAAGCUCGUAGUCGGAUUUCUGGCUGGCGCGGGCCGGUCCGCCUCGCAAGAGGUAGGAACUGUUGCUGAGCGCUGCCUUUGUUGUCGGGAGUGGUUCUGGCAUUAGGUUGUCGGGGCCAGGAUCGGCAUCGUUUACUGUGAAAAAAUUAGAGUGUUUCAAGCAGGCUUACGCCGCUGAAUACAUUAGCAUGGAAUAAUAAGAUAAGACUUUGGUGGUCUAUUUUGUUGGUUUGCACGCCAAGGUAAUGAUUAAUAGGGACAGUUGGGGGUAUCCAUAUUUCAUGGUCAGAGGUGAAAUUCUUGGAUUCAUGAAAGAUGCACUACUGCGAAAGCAUUUACCAAGGAUGUUUUCAUUGAUCAAGAA
rnacentral:rRNA from 1 species